AAAUCCGUCACUUCCCAGAUUUCGAACGCAUCCUUAGAGUGCAUUACUUUUAUGUGCUUGCGUUCGGUCUUGGGAUUUCUCAGCAGAUGUCGCCAACAGUAGAGAGAUUGAUCUAGAAUGUCUCGUUAUCGGAAAAGUAUGGUAGCCAUACACCAAAUGGUUUUUGCGUUUAGCUACCAUAUUACUUCCGAUAUGACUGUUGACAUCACUGCCGAUAUGACGGAGCAGUGCAUUGGCAAUAUGCCAAGGGCAGUAACAUGCCGUCAGUCACGUCAGUCAUCGGUCUUGGCUAUCUGUAAGGAUCUUGGCAGGAAUCUUGGCCUUUUCUUGGACCCAUAGCCUCGGCCUUCGACCAAUCAUAUCGCCGAAUUCGCAAGCGGUGAGAGACAAAUACGGCGUGCCAAAGACAUAUUGGGUGUCUCAAAAUCACUGAGAACUCUGUAGCUCAAAACUUAAGCCCUGCACUCUUUUAGAUCUACCCCGUUGAGUGGCAUUCUUGUGAAAAUUAUGUAAAGAUAUUUAUCAGAAUAAGGUAGAAGUGUAGGGGGUGGCAGGUGAGGUGCAGAAGAAGAAGAAGAAGAAGAAGUUGUACCUAUCCAGUAAUUUUAUCUUAAUUUGUGGACUAGACGAAGACUAGAUUUUGAUGAAGAAAUCGACAAACUUGAACUGCAGGACUCGUGGCGCUGCUCGCCUCCUCGCCAAUGCGAAUGCGUUCUCUGAGGACAACCCGCCCAAGGCUACCAUGGCGAAGCCACGCCACCGCGCCGGCUAUAGACUCACGGCCUGAAGCGAGUUUGGGCGCGACGGCUGGCGAGCCAAGGCGGCGGAAAGUCGUCUGGCGGAGCUCCCGUCUGAGGCGAGCUUGAUCUGGUCAGACAGCUCCGCCACCGAUGGUGUGCUAGAUGGAGGAGGAGGGGCCACCCCCCCCCCCCGAACCGCGACAUCCGAGAGGUGCGUGUCGCGGCAGGCGCCCUCUGCUCUAGCACGCGCGGCGAGCUAUUCGCCCCGCUGAUGGAGGGGCGUCCCCCGCCGCCGGUUCGUGGACCCAACAGGCUGGACGCAGUGGAGACCCACCAACUACGAGCAGGACACUGGUCCGGGUCAGCCCAGUACCUGCACAGAAUCGGGCGGCACCCAUCGCCGGAGUGCGCCCAGUGCAGUGAUCGGGGAUGCCGGGCAGGAUGGUGCCGCGCCUGCGGCGAAGAGGCCGACACCCCGGACCAUGUCCUUCUGCGGUGCCCGGCGCUGAUGAACGCCCGGCUCCGCAUCUUCGGCACCAUCUUCCCGAGCCUGAGCGACGUGCGACGAGACGACGCGGUGGCGGCCCUGGCGAGGGUCGCCAGGUACCUCCAGAGCCGUUAAGGCUACAGCUCACCAGAGCCUGGAGGGACAGCACAACAACAACAACAGCUAUUCGCCCUAAGAGCGGUGUUGGAGGAGCUGGCCGGACGGAUGGUACCGGUCGAUAUGGGUCGACCGCCGUCUAUCCGGUCCAUUCUGCUGUUCCAGCUCCAGGACCGGCCGCGCCGUCGCCACCCGUCCGGCGUCAGUGGAGGACCGCUCAUCAGCUGUCGAUUUUCAUCAGUUUCGCUUGGACCACUGGUCGGGCUCCUGCCAGUGCCGACAUUGGGUUGGGCGGAGUCCUACCGAUGAAUGCCGCGAGUGCUGCAACAUUGGCUCGGUACAUCUCGGUACAUUUUCCCGAGUCUGGUGUGGCUACGGGGAGACGGAUUUGGUGACCCUGGCUGCCGCCGUGAGAACCAUCCAGAACCAUACGGCUAUGCUGCGGCAGCAGCUGAAAGGAACGCAACAACAAUAACUACAACAGCAGCUGCUAAUGAAAGGGGAAAUCAUGGAGCCGGAUGACCCGGCACAUGGCGCUCAGCCAGCUGAGAAUGAGAGCAGCUAUCAAAUCGCCAGCAGGGUGCUGCGGCUGGUAACUGACGACCUUAACAGAGAGAGCGCCUCCGCUGAUGCGGAUGAAACUACCCCCUCUCGGGUUUGUUUGACGCCGUCUCCGUCGACUCUUUCGCCUGGGCCGGCUGGCGACCGCGACAUUUCUUGUGCAGUGACUCGUAACUAUGUUCACCAAACUUUUAAAACUCCUCACGUUAGCAUCUUUAACCCUAUUCCUGGCGGGCUCCGCCGGGACAAGAAACUGGCGGGGGGGGGCCGAUUCGGCCCCCCCCUGAGAUCUCGAGAACGAAGCAAGAUAGCGACAAGCGGUAAACGGCAUCGGAUACGCACGGCCAAGAUCUACAAUUUUUACUAAGGUCAUUUUCAGGUCAGGUCAAAGAUGACGUCACAGGGGUCGAAAAAGUCAAAAUGGCGGCACUAGAUAUGGAGAGAGUUUUUCUCGAAUAACUUUCGAAUUAGUCAAGAUAGGAAAAAACUAAGGGCAUAAUCGUGAUCCUCUCGUCAAUCCGCAUCGAAUGAUAUAUAUAUGUUGACCUCGAAAGGUCAAGGUCAAAGGUUGACCUCAGGUCACGUGACCUCGAGGUCAUCAUGUAUAUCAUUCGAUGCGUCUUGACGAGCUGAACACAAUGAGACCAUCCACGCGUCUGUAUCUUGUUCCUGUACGGAGUUAUUGGCCAAAAACCUUUGGUGACCUUUGAUGACGUCACAUGACCUCACAGCUGCCCAACAGCAAAACAGACCUGAAGGUAGUGAAGGUUGAUCGUAUAUGAAGUCAUGUAUGGUAUAUGGGGCCAUUCCGACCCGUUUUAGUGGUAAAAACAGGGAGUUGAUUUUUCCCCCAUUGACUUAUAAUGGGGAGGUCGCGAAAUUGACCUGACCUUAGGUCAACGAUAUCAAAAUUCCGAGAUAUACAAAUUGCACAUACUGGUACCCUAACUAAACCCUGAAGAGAAGAAAUUGAUCGGUCAAAAACUCUAGCUCUGGCGUGAUUGCAAACUUUUCUGAGGUAGCGUCACCAAACCGCCUCUGGUGACCUGACCUGAGGUCAGAUCAACUCAAAAUUUUCAGACAUGUUGCGUAGAAGCCUUUUAGGAAAAGUCAGAAAAUUUGAGCUUCCUAGCUCAACGCGUUUGGGAGAUAUAACCAAAAAACCUCAGGGGGGGGGGGGCUCCUGAGGCCCCCCGCCAGGAAUAGGGUUAAAGAAUGUUUCCCUUGUACACUGCUGCAAUGUCUUAUGUAGGCAUAUUGUAGGUACAGUCUAAACGAGUGUGGAAUGCUUUGUUGUGCUUGCUUGUUCUGUAUUUCGUUUGCUAUUUAUCACGGUGACUAUAAUUUAUUUUGACCAACCCUUGCCUUGUUGCAAUUUUAGUGGAUGGUUUCUGAACUGCUGUUUGCAUUAUAGAUGUUGCUAGUGCGUAGACGCCAAAGAUUACUUUAUACCUAUUGACGCGCCAGAUAAAGGAGGUGAAGUAUUCCUCUGAUCUCUACCUACGAAAUUCCUUUAUGUGUGUUUUGUAAUCGAUAUUGGCGGUUUUCUUAUGUGAUGCGGUGUAGAGCGUGGCUGAGGAAGGCGAUGUUUAAAGUUGCUAGUUAUUUUUCAAUACAUCUAUGAUCGGAC